ACUUACGGCCACACCACCCAGAGCACGCCCGAUCUCGUCCGAUCUAGGAAACCAAGCAGGGUCGGGCCUGGUUAGUACUUGGAUGGGAGACCGCCUGGGAAUACCAGGUGCUGUAAGCAU
rnacentral:rRNA from 1 species